rnacentral:rRNA from 1 species
UCCUACGGGGGGCAGCAGUAGGGAAUUUUCGUCAAUGGGCGCAAGCCUGAACGAGCAAUGCCGCGUGAACGAGGAAGGUCUUCGGAUCGUAAAGUUCUGUUGAAGGGGAAAAAGAGCGGAGAGAGGAAAUGGUCUCCGAUUGAUAUUACCCUUCGAGGAAGUCACAGCUAACUACGUGCCAGCAGCCGCGGUAAUACGUAGGUGGCGAGCGUUAUCCGGAAUGAUUGGGCGUAAAGGGUGCGUAGGCGGCCUGCUAAGUCUGGAGUGAAAGGUACCGGCUCAACCGGUACAGGCUCUGGAAACUG